CACGGCCUAUCAGCUUGUUGGUGAGGUAACGGCUCACCAAGGCGACGACGGGUAGCGGGUCUGAGAGGAUGAUCCGUCGCAUUGGGAGUGAGACACGGCCCAGAAUCGUACGGGAGGCAGCAAUGGGGAAUAUUGGGCAAUGUCCGAAAGGUUGUCCCAGCGUCGGAGCUUAGGGGAGGAAGCCGUUCGGGGUGUAAAGGGGGGUCAGGGGGGACGAACCGCGUAUGGUCGAACCUUUUUUGCGUUUGACGGUACCCCCAGAGGAAGCGCUGGCUAAUUCCGUCCCAGCAGACGCCGUAAGUCGGAGGGUGCCAGUGUUGUUGCGAAUCACUGGGCGUAAAGCGCGCGCAGGCGGGUGUGGAAGUAGGAGGUGAAAGGCCGGGGCUCAACCCCGGACCGUUCCUCAGAUACUACACGCCUUGGGGCCGGUAGAGGCCAGUAGAAUUCCUGGAGUAGCGGUGGAAGGUGUAGAGAUCGGGAAGAACACCAGAGGCGAAGGCGACUGGCCGGGCGGGAUCUGACGCUCUGGCCAGAAAGCGUGGGGAGCAAACAGGAUUAGGUUCCCUGGUAGUCCACGCUGUAAACGAUGGGUGAUAGAUGCAGGGGGGAGCGACCCGGUCAGGGUUGGAGCUAACGCGUUAAGCACCCCGCAUGGGGAGUACGG
rnacentral:rRNA from 1 species